ensembl:lncRNA
AGCCUAGUGAAGGACAGAAUAUAGCCAGAAGGUAGGGACAAAAGAGGGAGCAACUGAGGGAAAAAGUCAACUUCCUGUGGCACAAGCCAAUAUAUAUUCCUUCUAAUAUCAUCACUGAGGCCCACCCCAGGACAUCUCGGAUUGGGGAACAGUCACACAGGAAGCAGGAUCAGAGAACAGAACUCCAUCAUCACAAGAAAGGGAGUGUCCCAAGAAUGCCCAAGGGCUGCCAGGCACAGACUUCCAAUAUGGCGGCUUUCUAGUCAUCUUCAUUACCUAAGAGAGUUCUUGUUUAUAUAUAAAUAAGGAACAGGCCUUCUCACCUGUAAAAGAUCUAAACAAAAGAAAGGAAGAUUCAACCCAGUUUCAGAGCCUGAGACAUAGUUUGAACUUUAAAAUCAAACUUUUUCGAGGACCAAAAAGAGGAAUCAUUUCUCAAAAAAUAUCCCAAUUCAAUAUUAAUUUUCCACAUGAUCCUGGGCAUGUCACUUAACCUAAAUUGCCCAGUCUUUACUGCUUUUCUGCCUUGGAACCAAUUCUAAGGUAGAAGAUAUGGGUUUAAUAAAAAAUGAGUCAGGUAUAGGAUAGCAAAGAGAGUAGGCAGCAGGAGGCAAAGUCAGGGUGGCCAUCCAUUCCUGAGUGGUUUCUGGACUAUUCCAUCCCUCCUUCCCUCAGCAGCAGCAUCUACCAUUAACCAGGAUACAGACAUCCAAGCUGCUGUGGAAAGGUCCUUGAGGGAGCCCAAAGAGGAGAAAACAUUCCUUCAGGACACCCCAGCAGGCACAGAAAGCCAAAGGAAGGGGACAGGCAACAGCAGGAGGUUGAAGGUCAAAGGGAAGGAUGCUCCUCUUUGCACCAGAGGUUCUCUACAUCCCAAUCGGGAGAUCCAGCUGGCAGUAGGUGGUGGGAGUUGCCUUGUAUAGAUCAAAGUCAUUGUCUGGGGCCAAAGGAAGGCUCCCAGUGGCCUCUUGCGGCCUUCCCCCAGGGGAAAUGUUUUGCCUCAAAGGAGAUAGAAGGUAGGAGGUCAGAAGAACAUUUGCCUCCUUUUCUUACCUGAGACUGGAGAUGAACUCAUAGAACCCAACUGAACCCAGUCUUCCUCUGCUCAAUUAAUAUGGGAAUUCUGAAUCUAGGAUGGGAAGCAUAGAGGAUGGCUUUCUGUAACCAUCACCCACUUGAGGAGUGUCUCUCCUGUAUUGGGGGAGGGUGGUAUUGGGAGUUCUUUGGGGCCAGAUUAUAAGCUUUCUUGGGGAGAUGUCAAAAGAUAUGAAAGUUUACCUAUCACUACUGAAUGGCUAAUAGGGAUGGGGAUGGUAGGUAUAGGGACUAGAUCUAUGACUUCAUCUGUAUAGAGAACCUCAAGGAGAGGAAAUACCGUCUACCAAAAAAAAAGUUGGUACCUUCUCUGCAACUUAGAUUCUGAAAGCAUUUUCUAGGGUCCUGGGAGUUUAAGUUUCUUGUCCAAUGUCACACAGCCAGGAUAUAGCAGAAGUAAGACUUCCACUCAAGGCUCAAUUCUCUCUUUGUCCUGGACUGAAAUGCAAAUGCUACAAAACAGGACAUUUUCCUUGAAAAGCAGAAAUGGAGCAGAGGGAGAGAAUUAAUUGUAAAGAAGCAUUACAAUAAGGGCAUUUAGGUGGCUAGUGGAUAGAGAGCCAGACCCAGAUAUGGGAGGUCCUGGGUUCAAAUCUAGCCUCAGACAUUUCUUAGCUAUGUGAUCUGGGCAAGUCACUUAACCCAGAUUGCCUUGUACUUACUGCUCUUCUGCCUUGGAGCCAAUACUUAGUAUUAAUUCUAAGACAGAAGGUAAGGGUUUUUUUUUCAAGCAGCAUUACAAUAAAUCAUGAACAAGAAUUUAAAAAUAACUUUGU